rnacentral:rRNA from 1 species
AUUGAACGCUGGCGGCAUGCCUUACACAUGCAAGUCGAACGGCAGCACGGGUGCUUGCACCUGGUGGCGAGUGGCGAACGGGUGAGUAAUACAUCGGAACAUGUCCUGUAGUGGGGGAUAGCCCGGCGAAAGCCGGAUUAAUACCGCAUACGAUCUACGGAUGAAAGCGGGGGACCUUCGGGCCUCGCGCUAUAGGGUUGGCCGAUGGCUGAUUAGCUGGUUGGUGGGGUAAAGGCCUACCAAGGCGACGAUCAGUAGCUGGUCUGAGAGGACGACCAGCCACACUGGGACUGAGACACGGCACAGACUCCUACGGGAGGCAGCAGUGGGGAAUUUUGGACAAUGGGCGAAAGCCUGAUCCAGCAAUGCCGCGUGUGUGAAGAAGGCCUUCGGGUUGUAAAGCACUUUUGUCCGGAAAGAAAUCCUUGGCCCUAAUACGGUCGGGGGAUGACGGUACCGGAAGAAUAAGCACCGGCUAACUACGUG